GAAUCCGAAUUGACAUGGACUCAAGAAUGGAAGGCUAACGGAUCAAGGGUAAAUAAAGAAGCUAUGCACAACUCGGACGCACGAUGUAUUGCACGUAUCUCUACCACUACUAUCGAAGAUAAGCAUGCAUUGAUCGAGCCCCAAAUUAAAGAUUGUACGGGAAGAACGGCCACAUAGUCUGAUUUAUGUAUUGUCUUGAAGCGUUACUUUAAUGUGGUUAUUGUUAAUCCCUUUUUUGUAAAUGUUUAUCAUGUGUAUUUGAGCUUUUAAAUAAGUAAUGGGUCUAAAUAAGAAAGAAAAAUUUUGGGCUCAUAUUUUCCGCUGCGUCAUGUUUAAGUUCUUACAGGGAAUUGUUCAUUAUACGAACGGGUCAUGCCCGAAUUUUGUAAAUAAUAAUACUUAUUUGGAAUAAGAAA